AGAGUUUGAUCCUGGCUCAGGNAGNNAGANNGCUUCAGGCUUAACACAUGCAAGUCGAGGGGAAACGAUGCGGAAGCUUGCUUCUGCAGGCGUCGACCGGCGCACGGGUGAGUAACGCGUAUCCAACCUGCCCCGAGGUAAGGAAUAAUCCGUAGAAAUGCGGUCUAAUACCUUAUGUGCUCCGAAGAGGACAUCUAAUUUGGAGUAAAGAUUUAUCGCCUUGGGAUGGGGAUGCGUCUGAUUAGAUUGUUGGCGGGGCAACGGCCCACCAAGUCACCGAUCAGUAGGGGUUCUGAGAGGAAAUUCCCCCACAUNGGAACUGAUACACGGUCCAUACUCCUACGGGAGGCAGUAGUGUGUAAUAUUGGUCAUUGGGUGAGAACCUGAACCAUCC
rnacentral:rRNA from 1 species